rnacentral:rRNA from 1 species
CUGAUGGCGAGUGGCGAACGGGUGAGUAAUGCAUCGGAACGUGCCCAAUCGUGGGGGAUAACGCAGCGAAAGCUGUGCUAAUACCGCAUACGAUCUACGGAUGAAAGCGGGGGAUCGCAAGACCUCGCGCGAUUGGAGUGGCCGAUGUCAGAUUAGCUAGUUGGUGGGGUAAAGGCCUACCAAGGCAACGAUCUGUAGCUGGUCUGAGAGGAUGAUCAGCCACACUGGGACUGAGACACGGCCCAGACUCC